GGAAAAGGCAACUUUUUUUUUAUUUAGUGAUGUUUAAAAUAGCCAGGCUUUCGAGAGGGCCAUUGAAUGGCCGUGCUUCCAAGAUUUCAGCUGGUUGACAACUGCAUCAAUUUCAGCUAAUACAUCUAGAACGCUUGUACUCCCGUAUGUACAGUGGACUUGAUUAUUGAAGGUUAAUCCUCCAUCUUUAAGUUCAAGCCAAACAAGCUGGCUGGGCUCAUAUCUAAGAACCCGUGAGCUUCAGGAUGGCCGUGUUGGUUGACCUUGGAGGUUGAGUUGAGGGAGCUUUGCUUGUGUUUGGAGCUUCAUCAAGCUGCCCACCACCAUUGCCAGCAAGGUGCAGACAGGAAGAAUCAAUGCAGUUAGCAGGCAGCGUUUCUCACGGCUGGUCAAUCUCUAACCACUCUCAUUAACACCACACACACGUCACCACCACUUGCAUAUUCCUUCUCAUCCUGGAAAAGAGGACUCUUCUUUGGACUCUUUUAGCUCAAACAACCAUGCUUUGUUUUUCGUUUUAUCAUCAUCUACCAAUUAGUUUAAUAAUUAAUACAAAAUUCUCUUAUUA